rnacentral:rRNA from 1 species
AUGCUUCUCCUAAAGACUAAGCCAUGCGUGUCUUCGAAUAAGAGGAAGCAAUUCUCUCUGAAUCUGCGAACGGCUCCGCAAACCAGUUGUAAACUAUAACAAGCAAGCCUGCGCCCCUCACCGGGUGCAGGCAACACGGAUAACCCUGGUAAUUCUGAGGCUAAUACGAGAUCGUACUCCCUGGCUAACCGGGCAACUGGAAGGCUGGGAGGUGUGUGAUUUAGCACGAGGAAUCUGCUGGGAAAAGACA